rnacentral:rRNA from 1 species
GGGGGGAAAUUAAUAAAGAGAAAAAUAAUAGAAAAAAAUUUAAUAUUAAAUAAUUUAAUGGGGGUUAAAGUAUAUUAAUAGAAAAAAUUUUUAUUUUUAUAAUGAAUUAGUAAUGUAAAAUAAAUUUGAAAUAUAUGAAAAUAAAUUAAUGGAGAAGUAAUUUUUGUUUAGUGUAUCUUGUGUAUCAGAGUUUAUUAAAAAAAAAAUUAAAGAAAUAAAUAUUCUCGAAUUUUAAAGGGAAAAUUAAUUAGGAAAGUUAUUGUGUCAAAAAUAUUUUAAAUAAUUAAUUGGAAAUGAAAUGUUAAUCGUUUUAAAAGAUAUCUAGUUUUUUUAGAAAAAAAUUUAAUUUAAAAUUUUGUUUAUGGGGAAAAUAAAUAAAAAUUUUUUUUAAAACUAAAAUUUAAUAAUUUAAGGGAUAAGCUUUAAAUUAGAAUAUUAUAAUUAAAAAAGUUGAGAAUGUAAAAAUUUUAAAAUUUAAAUUGUUAAAAAAUUAUAGUUUAUUAUAAAUAAUUUUAAUUAAAUUAAAAUUUUAUAAAAAUUUAAUUUUUUAUAAAAAAAUAUUUUUUAAUAAAAAUAAAAUAGAUAUAAUGAUAAAAUUAGUAUAAAAAUAAUUAUUAAUUAAUAAAAUAAGGUAAAAAAAAAUAAAAGGAAUUCGGCAAAUAUUUAUAUUCACUUGUUUAUUAAAAACAUGUCUUUUUGAAAAUAAUUUAAAGUCUAAUCUGCCCACUGAUAGAAAUAUUAAAGGGCUGCAGUAUAUUGACUGUACAAAGGUAGCAUAAUCAUUAGUCUCUUAAUUGGUGACUUGUAUGAAGGAUUGGAUGAGAUAUAAACUGUCUUUUAUUUUAUAUGUAGAAUUUAAUUUUUCAAUUAAAAAGUUGAAAUAAAUUUAAAAGACGAGAAGACCCUAUAGAGUUUAAUAAUUUUAUUGAUGAAAAAAAUUAUAUAAAAUUUUAAUAAAAAUUAAAAAAAUUAUUUUGUUGGGGUGAUAAAAAAAUUAAAAUAACUUUUUUUAAGUGAAUUAAAACAUGAAUAGGUGGAAUAAAUGAUCCAAAAAUUUUGAUUAUAAGAAAAAAUUACCUUAGGGAUAACAGCGUAAUUUUUUUUUUUAGUUCAGAUAAGAAAAAAAGUUUGCGACCUCGAUGUUGGAUUAAGAUAAAAUUUAAAUGUAAAAGUUUAAAGUUUUGAUCUGUUCGAUCAUUAAAAUCUUACAUGAUCUGAGUUUAAACCGGUGUGAGCCAGGUUGGUUUCUAUCUUUAGAUAAAUAAAAUAUUUUAGUACGAAAGGAUCAAAUAUUUGAAAUAAUUUUAUAAAAAAGAAUAUGAUUAAUAAGGAUUUAAAUGA